CAGUCAUUGGUCCAUGUUUGAUUACUCUUCAUGUCACUGAAUAAUUCAUCCUCUCCUGGACCUUCUGCAGCAAGCUGCUAACAUCCCUUCUUUGUCCGUGGACCUCAUCUAAUCUACCUUCAUUGCAGGAAAACCUACCUUCUUUCCAAAGAAUCUACCCUGUGUGGAGACGCCACCAUUGCCUUGUUAUUAAAGACUGUUGAUCCUAUUCUCACCCCUUAAAUGAAGAGUUUGACUUAGUGCUGUUCACCUUGAAGGGAGGCACAUUCUGCACAGUCUGAAGAUGCUGCAUGAAUUACCUUUCCCUCUGUCACCCACCCCCAAGAAGGGAAUAAAGUGUAAUGGACCAAGGAGGAAGGUGGGGAGAGGGAAGGACAGAGAAGUGAAAUACAGCAGGUUUGGGAAAAGGAUAUAGCCUUUGUGAUUAAUAUUAAAGUUCUGAGCUCACAGACAUCAAAUUUUAUUCUCUCUUUCUGAGAUUUGGAUGAACCUUACCAUACCUGGCUUGGAGCAAAAGUCUCUUGCUAAAUGAUAUUAAAUAUCAGGAAUAAAAAUGUCCUUAAAUUUUGUGCUUUUUAAAAAACUUUUGAAGUUCAACUGAGUAUUGGAAGAUACUCUGUCGACUUCAGAACUUGCCAAUAGCAUACAUGCAUUGCUUUAACCUCUCCAGUCCCCAUUCUGGUCACCCCAUUUGCAUAUUCAGUCAACCUUUGAAUAACACAGGUUUGAACCGAUCAGGUCAACUUAUAUGCAAACUUUCUUUCACCUCUG